rnacentral:lncRNA from 1 species
AUUGGAUGAUUCCAAUUGGGUCUAGCCAAUGGCAAGAGGCGGAGGGCGGAGCAACGAAAAGGGGUGGGACUCUUGCUCGGACCUUUAAGAGAUAGCGCUUUCUAAUAAUUCAGCACUCUUGCCAUACUCGUGCUUUGCUGCAAUCAUGAGUGAACUUCAGGAAGAAGUAGGAUGGCUCGAUCAAGGAUUCAGCCGCCCCAAGCCUUCCAGGAGAGAACGCCGCCGCCGCCGCCGCCAAGAGGCAGAGGCAGAGGCAGAGGCAGAGGCAGAGGCUGAGACUGAGGCUGAACAUGAGGCUGAACCAGAGGCUGAGGUAGAGGCAGAGGCAGAUGCAGAGGCAGAGGUAGAGGUAGAGGCAGAGGCAGAGGUAGAGGUAGAGGUAGAGGCAGAGGCGGAGGCUGGGGCACAGGCACCAGCACAAGGAGAGGCAGAAGCGGAGGCCGAGGCCGAAGCGAAAGACUACGAGCCCAGAAGCACCCUAUUUAGAAAGAGAGAGGCAACGGCAUCGCUUUGUUUGCCAAUUGACAAAAAUCUCGUGGGCGCCCUGAUUGGCUAUAGGGGCUCUACCGUGAGAGCGAUCGAGCAACUAACCAGCACGCACAUCAGUAUCAAAGAAAGAGGAGAUCAGCAGUCUGUCUGCAUUUAUGGAUCCUAUGAAGCCUGCGGAAGAGGACUAGAUGUAGUCGAAUGUGUCCUCGGUUGGUACCAGCCAGCAGAGAAAUAGGGCUUAUCUGAUCUCGGAGUACCGCUGCCUCCUGACAAAAGUAGAGCAUCUCCCAGAGUUCUUUCUCUUCCCUGUAAAACCUUUCUUUUUCCAGUCCUUUUCCAACUUUAAGAAAUGUCUCUUAAUAUCCUGCUCUGAGCUGAACACUUCUAGGGACCCAGAGAUGGACUUCUCACAAAGACUUUGCUACCAAUCAAUGCCAGGACCAACCUUUCUCCCAGAAGAGAUGACCGAAGAGGGGGGGACUCAAUAUGAACAAAACUUAUUUUGGAUCAAGAAACCAAAGUGGGCAUUUUGCCACAUCGGGGAUAUUGGUUUAAAGAAGUUUUUCUUUUUUUCCUAUUUAGAGGUGGAAAAGGGAAAAUAGAUGGGAGAGAAAAAGAAAAGGUUGUUCAUUGAAAAAAUAAAAUGAAAUGUCAAAAUCUAUUAAUAUCUUGU